rnacentral:lncRNA from 1 species
ACAGAAUCAGCUACACCCAAAGAAAGAAUACUGGGAAAUGAGUGUGAACUGUUUGCAUUUUUGCUUUUCUUCCCAGGUUAUUUUUAUCUUCUGAAUGCAAUUCUUCUUGUGCAACAAGAGAACUGUUUGGUUCUGCACACAUAUAUUGUACCUAGGAUAUACUGUGACAUAUUUAACACGUAUAGGACUGCUUGCCAUCUGGGGGAGGGGAUGGAGGGAGGGAGGGGAAAAGUCAGAACAGAAGUGAGUGCAAGGGAUAAUAUUGUAAAAAAUUACACUGGCAUGGGCUCUGUCAAUAAAAAGUUACAAUAAAAAAAAAAAGAAAAGAAAAUGUCAAUAAAUAAAUGCUUGGUGACAUGAAAUUUAUUGCAAUGUUGGAUUGGCAACAUGUUUUGAAGAAUGAAAAAGAACUGAGGGGGCUAAAAUCAGAUGACUUCACUUGUAGUGAAAGACUUAGUCAACUGCUAUCAUUGGGGUGUGAGAGCUUGGUUGGAGGUGCUAGAAGGAAAAAGGAUUGGAAACAAUUACUAAGGCAAACUUGACAGGGAUUUCAUGAUCUAACCUAUGUAGAAUUACAACUGAAAAUAAUCAGCAGAUGUUCACUAACAGGCAACUCUGUGCCAAGCAAUGUGUUAAAUGUUGAAAGGGGAAAAACCCAACCAAACCAAUCCCUGACAUUACUGGGAAUGAUGGAAUCUUACCUCACAAGUAUGGGCAGCAUCUUUAGCUGGGAAGGACUGCCCCUUGUCUGAAGGGAUGGGACUCACCUGGGCUAUCCUGGGCCAUUUCUAACCCGGCAGCACCAGCUGUAGCCCAGCAUAUAGUGACCGCCUUACAUACCUUCCGGAAGGCACUGAGACCACCACCUUUCCCAUACUUCCAAAUGCCCUUUCCUUGAAGUCACUUUGUAUUAAAUUUAUAUUUGCAUUAAAUCUAUAGAGCUGGAAUGAUCAACCUUCUCAUAGGUCUUUUGAAGAAACCGAGGGCCAGGGAGUUUAAGGGACUAACUAGAUUCAUAUAGACCAAUGACAAGUUUGAUAUAUUUGACCUCUGCCUGGGCAGAGUAUACUGAUUCCAAACCCAGCCUCUUUACAGAACCAUAUUCUUUAAAUUUACAAGUACGCAGUAUUCCCCUCUUCCCUCAUAGAAUGUAAGCUCUUGGAGGGGAAGGACUGGUUCAUGUGUUUUUGUAUCCCCAAAUUUAGCAGUCUUAUACUUUAUUAAUCAGUUAAUAAUAUGUAAUUAAAUGUGUUGGAUGAAAAUGUCUUUUUCUUAGAAGUGUGAAAAAAUGGAUCUCAAUUUUCUUCUUUGUUCAUAUACUUUAACUGUUAGUUUGCCUUCUUGAUAAGGAAAAAACCUGGCUCAUUAUUCUGUUAUUUCUUCUCUUUAGUCGGGCAAGUCCAGCUCUUUUCCUUCUUUCCCAUGUCCUGAUCUUGGACUUCAGAAGCAUCUAAGCCCAGGGUAAUUCACAUUGUGUUGCUUUCAGCAAUCUGGCUUUUAACCAGAGAAUAACAAGAGGGCUAGAAAAUCAUUAGAGCAUCUUAGGUGCUCCUGUUUGAAUUUGUCCCUUGGAUCGAGUAUAAAUUGCUAACUUUUGGGAGGUAGAUUUUAGGACUCUGUCAUCUUACCCACCUAUCUGGAAGCAAAAGUUUUCUGUUAGAUCUCUUGGUUGUCUCUGGACACAGUCAGGUGGCCAGGACAGCGUAGGAAGGGAGCAAGAGCAAGAGGGUGAUAACAGGUACAGGUAUCCUCCUGGAGUUCUGGACUGGGAGGCGAAACCUUUAAAAAAGGAUUCCAGCUUCUAAGAAGCCUCACAGCCAUAUUUGACUAGCCCACUGUUGUACAAAGAUGGUAUAGAAAAAGAGCACUCUAUUUUCUUUUUGCCAGAAAAAGUAGUGAUAACUAAAAAACUCUCUUUUCCAUUGUGGACUUCGCACUUGAAGGUCAAAUGAUCAUCUCAAACCUCCUGUUAUCUCUGCAUGAUCAAUUCCAUCAAAUAAAGAGUCAGUGAUGACAAUUUUUACACUAGUUAUCCCAGAACAAACACAAAAUUUAC